AGCCCGGUCAGCCCGCUCCGACCGGGCUGGGGGACGGGGGCGGCCCGCGGCGCGCACCCAGCCCGGGCGGACACACGCUCCCGCGUGCAGACAAAGGGCGGGGGCACCCCCGGCCCCGACGUGCGGCUCCGUCCCGGAGCCGGGGGGGAAGGGAGGGGGGGGGGGGGGGGAAGAAGGCGGGCCAGCGGGGGGGGGGGGGGGGGGGGGGGGGGGGGGGGGGACAGAAAGUUCGGCAUCGACGGGGCGGGAGGUGGGGGCGCUGCCCCGCGCCUUUGUUCAGCAGGGAGAGGACCCGCGGCGGAGCCGAGCCGACCGCGCAGAUGGGCACGCACCCGGCAGCGCGGCCCUGCGCCCGUGGGACGAGGGGGAGGAGGGAGGCAGAAGGUUCCCCUUGCAGCCUCCCCCACUCUUUCCCUCCCUCCAAGGAGGUUUAGCGUGAGGGAAGUUUUGCGCCAGAGCCGAGGAGAGAUGGAGGAGGUGGAAAGUUGGGGGGCGACGGGGGCGAGGGUACGGCGGGACCCAGCUGGGGGGGGGGGGGGAGCGGGGACCUGCCGCCGCCGGCGGCUCUUUGUCUGCUCGGGCAACUUGAACAAAAGGAGAAACUCGGGUGAACUCCGCAUCUCUCCCGGAUUAGCUCAUCUUCGGCAACUUUAUCUGGAGAGAUCGAGGCAACUUUCUCCCAUCUCUCCUGCCUCUUCAAAGCGCUCGGCCCCGCUGUAGGCUCGUGAGGAAACUGGGGUUCGCGGUGUAAAGAAAGCAGAAGGUACGACUUGUCUUCGGUCUUAUUGUUCUCGGCGCGCUCCCUCGCCCCCCCGCCGGCCGCGCUCCGGCUGCGGAGUGCGCGAGGGGGGCGGCUGCGGCCGGGGCCGCUCUUUGUACUGCGCGAAGCACAUGCAGGUAUGGGCUGGGGGAGAGCCCCGUCCUUCUGUGCCGG
rnacentral:lncRNA from 1 species